CCUACGGGUGGCAGCAGUGGGGAAUUUUGCGCAAUGGGCGAAAGCCUGACGCAGCAACGCCGCGUGUGUGACGAAGGCCCUAGGGUUGUAAAGCACUGUGGGAAGGGAAGAAAAAACGGGGGUUGUACCCCGUCUUGACGGUACCUUGUUAGAAAGCACCGGCUAACUCCGUGCCAGCAGCCGCGGUAAUACGGAGGGCGGAAGCGUUGUUCGGAAUUAUUGGGCGGGUGGGGUGCCUAGGUGGCUGGCAAAGCCCACGGCUCAACCGUGGAACUGCAUUGGAAACUGGCAAGCUCGAGUGUUGGAGGGGGUCGCGGAAUUCCCGGUGUAGAGGUGAAAUUCGUAGAUAUCGGGAGGAACACCAGUGGCGAAGGCGGCGACCUGGCCAAUCACUGACACUGAGACGCGAAAGCGUGGGGAGCAAACAGGAUUAGAUACCCGUGUAGUC
rnacentral:rRNA from 1 species